rnacentral:rRNA from 1 species
UACGUAGGUCCCGAGCGUUGUCCGGAUUUAUUGGGCGUAAAGCGAGCGCAGGCGGUUUGAUAAGUCUGAAGUUAAAGGCUGUGGCUUAACCAUAGUUCGCUUUGGAAACUGUCAAACUUGAGUGCAGAAGGGGAGAGUGGAAUUCCAUGUGUAGCGGUGAAAUGCGUAGAUAUAUGGAGGAACACCGGUGGCGAAAGCGGCUCUCUGGUCUGUAACUAACGCUGAGGCUCGAAAGCGUGGGGAGCAAACAGG